UUCUCUUUUGACUAUGAAGAAGAGAGUAUUUAGAGACUGGAAGUUAAAACUUUUCCGGAGACCAAGAGGGCAGUUGUAGCAUUUCCUAAACUCAUAGCAAUUGUGUUUCAUACAGCUAAGUAUUAUCAGCUCCUUGCAGGUAGAGGAUGUUUCUGACACAUCUUAGCAUUUCCGAGUGCUAGAAGAAUAGAGCUGACCGUAAGGACCAGGUGAGGAAACUGAAGCACAAGCUACACAGCUCCAGUGAGAAGCAGAGCUGGAACUGAUUCCACUUGGCUGAUUACCCAGGUCAGCUAGAUCCGACCCUCGUAUCCUGCAGUGCUUGCUUUCAGUGAACAGAAUAUCUACAGUAUUGUUUGAAUACUCAAGACCUGGGGGGCCCCACCAUCUGAUAUCUGAAAACAGACUUCCUGUGAAGCAGGAGUGAUGGUUUCCUGAGAACAAGUGCUUCACUAUCAAGACAUGGAAAGAUAGCACUCGGCUGCUAGUAACAAAUUGCACCAAAGUUACAAAUGCAGGCCAAGCCUUGGAUUCGGUUGAGGGUAUCGAAGAAGGACGGAAGCACGCCAGCCCACCUGAUCUCUGUACCCCCUCUGCCCUCCUCUGGCAGCAGCAGGCCCUUCAUCUGCUCCUUGGAAGGGAAGAGCCAGGUCCUAGAGGCAUCUUCGAUUUGCCAAUAGCUCUAUUCUCCACACGGAUACUGCCUUCGCAGUGUAUGACUCUGGACCAGGGUUUGGGAUUGGUCAGGGAAAAGCUGUAACUUUGAGUGGCUCCCGAUCCUCUCCUUCCCCUUCAGGCUAUUUCUGGGUCAUCUGGGGAGCGGCAGGGCUGGAGCAGGAGGGACCAGGCCCAUGUGCAGCAGGCUCGGUCCUCGGCUGCAUCAGAGCAGCUCAGCAAGCAGCCUCGCCAAUUACCCUGUCUUAUGCACAAAGGGAUCUAGACUCAGCUUCUCACCUUUGGAUACCAAAAGCAUCAGGCAGUGGGAGGUGGAGGAGUGUCUCAGGCCAAAUGAGGCACCUCCAGAUGAUAAGGGCCAGACCCUACAUGCAUCUAAAGCAGGAAGAGGCCAAGGCCUUCACUGAGGAGAUGGAUGGGGCAGCAUCUCAAAGAUGGUGGGCAAGUAACUAACCCUGUUGGUCUCUAGGAGGGGCUCUGCCAGUCACUGUCUACCCAGUUCAAACGACAUGUUUCAGCAUCAUGAAAAAUAACAAACAAAUAUGGACUAUAUGAGUCAAUUUUUGUUUAAAAGGAAAACGCAAAGACGUUAAAAAAAUGGAUAUUUUUUAAAAGUACACUAUAUGAUUUUUAUUUUAUGUUUGCCUAUUAUCAUACAAGCAUUGCUUUUGUAAUGAGAAAAAUGAAACUUAAUAAAGCCUUUGCUAAUUCUUAUGUAAAAUAUAGGGAAAAGAUUAGCGGAGAUCAUCUAGUUCUAUUAGACAAAAACUUUCCUUCUGAAAAUAGUUAAACCUAAGGUGAAACAAAGAAUAAUUACUACAUUUAGUAAUUAUUGUCAGGGCAGUGUAAAGGUAGUUUCAAAUUUUUCCUUGUAGGUUGUAUUAUUAAAAAAACCCAACCCCCCCACCUUAAGAAAAAAAACCCUCUAAAUGCCUCUCCAUCCCCCAACCCUUCCUUUGUCACCAUCUGGCUAGAGAAAAUCUUCCUGGAGCUCCUUACCUUCAGA